rnacentral:rRNA from 1 species
AGAGUUUGAUCCUGGCUCAGAACGAACGCUGGCGGCGCGUCUUAAGCAUGCAAGUCGAAUGGCAAGAAAAGAGCUUGCUCUUUUCCUAGAAUGGCGGACUGGUGAGUAACGCUUGGGUGACGUACCCUUUGGAUGGGGAUAGCUGUUAGAAAUAGCAGAUAAUACCGAAUAAGCUCCCUUUUGUUAGAGGAGAGGGAGGAAAGGAACUUUAGUUCCGCCGAAGGAACGGCCCGAGUACUAUUAGCUAGUUGGUGAGGUAACGGCCCACCAAGGCGACGAUAGUUACCCGGCCUAAGAGGGUGAUCGGGCACAUUGGGACUGAGAUACGGCCCAGACUCCUACGGGAGGCAGCAGCUAAGAAUAUUCCGCAAUGGACGAAAGUCUGACGGAGCGACGCCGCGUGGAUGAUGAAGGCCGGAAGGUUGUAAAAUCCUUUUAUGACUGAGGAAUAAGGAGAGUGAGAGAAACGCUUUCCGGUGACUGUAGGUCAUGAAUAAGCAACGGCUAAUUACGUGCCAGCAGCCGCGGUAACACGUAAGUUGCGAGCGUUGUUCGGAAUUAUUGGGCGUAAAGGGCAUGUAGGCGGUUUUGCAAGCUUGGUGUGAAAGGCAGGAGCUUAACUCCUGGACUGCGUUGAGAACUGCAAGACUUGAGUCACUGAGGGGCAAUCAGAAUUCCUGGUGUAGGGGUGAAAUCUGUAGAUAUCAGGAAGAAUACCAAUGGCGAAGGCAGGUUACCAGCAGAUGACUGACGCUGAGGUGCGAAGGUGCGGGGAGCAAACAGGAUUAGAUACCCUAGUAGUCCGCACAGUCAACGAUGUACACUGGAUGUCUGCACAGAAGUGUGGGUGUCGAAGCAAACGCGAUAAGUGUACCGCCUGGGGAGUAUGCCCGCAAGGGUGAAACUCAAAGGAAUUGACGGGGGCCCGCACAAGCAGUGGAUUAUGUGGUUUAAUUCGAAGCAACGCGAAGAACCUUACCAGGAUUUGACAUCCAACUAACGAAGUAGAGAUACAUUAGGUGCCCUUCGGGGAAAGUUGAGACAGGUGGUGCAUGGUUGUCGUCAGCUCGUGUCGUGAGAUGUUGGGUUAAGUCCCGCAACGAGCGCAACCCCUAUUGUCAGUUGCUAACAGGAGAGCUGAGCACUCUGGCGAGACUGCCGCCGACAAGGCGGAGGAAGGUGGGGACGACGUCAAAUCAUCAUGGCCUUUAUGUCCAGGGCGACACACGUGCUACAAUGGCCGGCACAGACGGAAGCGACUUUGCGAAAAGGAGCGGAUCCUCGAAAGCCGGUCCCAGUUCGGACUGCAGUCUGCAACUCGACUGCACGAAGUCGGAAUCGCUAGUAAUCGCAGAUCAGCCAAGCUGCGGUGAAUACGUUCCCGGGCCUUGUACACACCGCCCGUCA